rnacentral:rRNA from 1 species
GAUGAACGCUGGCGGCGUGCCUAAUACAUGCAAGUCGAACGCACAGUUUAUACAGUAGCUUGCUACACCAUAGACUGGGAGUUGCGAACGGGUGAGUAACGCGUAGGUAGCCUGCCUGGUAGCGGGGGGUAACUAUUGGAAACGAUAGCUAAUAUCGCAUAAUAUUGAUUAUUGCAUGAUAAUUGAUUGAAAGAUGCUAUUGCAUAACUACCAGAUGGACCUGCGUUGUAUUAGCUAGUAGGUGAGGUAACGGCUCACCUAGGCCACGAUACAUAGCCGACCUGGGAGGGUGGUCGGCCACCCUGGGACUGAGACACGGCCCAGACUCCUACGGGAGGCAGCAGUAGGGGAUCUUCGGCAAAGGGCGAAAGUCUGACCGAGCAACGCCGCGUGAGUGAAGAAAGUUUUCGGAUCGUAAAGCUCUGUUGUAAGAGAAGAACGGGUGUGAGAGUUGAAAAUUCACACUGUGACGGUAUCUUACCAGAAAGGCACGGCUAACUACGUG